UACGAAGGGGGCUAGCGUUGCUCGGAAUCACUGGGCGUAAAGCGCACGUAGGCGGCUUACUAAGUCAGGGGUGAAAUCCUGGAGCUCAACUCCAGAACUGCCUUUGAUACUGGUGAGCUUGAGUCCGGAAGAGGUGAGUGGAACUGCGAGUGUAGAGGUGAAAUUCGUAGAUUAUCGCAAGAACACCAGUGGCGAAGGCGGCUCACUGGUCCGGUACUGACGCUGAGGUGCGAAAGCGUGGGGAGCAAACAGG
rnacentral:rRNA from 1 species